AUGGGGCUGUAAUAGCCACAGUGUGUUACAGUAAUAAAGGAGCCUGCUCUUGGGUGUUGCUGCUGAUCCCAAAACAAGGCAGACCUGUUCCCAGCCGGUCCCGGAGCUGCACAACUGGUUACAACACACAGCAGCAGCACGGACACACGACUGCAAACGCUGCUGAUGCUGAAUAACAACAGAGCUUCUGGCCACACUGAACUUCUGUGACAGUUGUUGCUCGUGGUGAUGACACGCUGCUCCUCUCCGGGAGUCGUGUCUCAUCCGGGUGGUGUUUGAAGAAGUUACGAAACACGGUACACUGUUGUUUGUGUUGACGGUCGUGAUGUGGCUACACAACGUGUGAUCACUGGCUUUCGAGUCAGAUUUAAAGCAGCAGGUAGUUGGAUGGAGGCCUAACUCCCAAGCUAGGUAGCUAGCGCACAGCAUCUGUUUACAUGAACCUUACGUUAAACUUAAGCUAACGUAAAGAAGCAACCGUGGACUCUUGCUGAGAAAGUUCCCGUACGAAUGAAAACGUAGCAGCAACUUUUUGUUGUUUUAAAGCUACGUGUUGUUUUUCGUCUCGUCUCAAACCAGGAGCAGAUUGUGUGAUGACUCUUUUACGUGCGAACAGAACAGACACGUCAACCCUCACAAAAGACCACUAACGGUUUCCACCGCAACACCCCCCACACUUAUAUCCGUGUUUCGGCAGCUUGUGUCCGGGGCAGAGUGAUGCGGCGAGGCUGGUUCCUCAAGAGAACACGGGUUCAAGUCCCUCCACACAAAGUGCAAACAACGAGCAGAUCGUACCUGGUCAGUGACGCAGAGAUCCGCGGUAGUGUGGGCUGUGUGUGUGGAGCUGAGCGGGGGCACCUCUCUGGUUCCUCGGUCCUGGGACAGUGGAGCUGCUGCUGCUGCUGCAGCAGAAUGACAGGCUGGAGGUGGGAUCACAUCCGAUACCAUGCAGCGAAUCCAGCCUGAGCAGCAAUCCAAGGCGCAAACAGAACCUGUCCCGCUGGGUGUCGGAGUACGGCCAUGGCGAGUUGACCGGCAUAUGACGUUCCGCUCGACGCCGCUGGAUGCACAACAAAGAGAAAAACAAACCUUAACAACAACAAACUCACAACAGUUCCUCAUAGCAGCAUGAUGCAUACAAAGAGAAGUAUAAAAACCCAAUCAUUUUGGCAGCAUAGUAGGGACAUUUGCUGAUGUCACCACCCGUGGCUCCAUGGACAGACAAGCCAGCAUCUAAAACAUCCUCCUGGAUUAUUGUUUUUUAUAGCUUACAAUUUUGUCUGCCUGUGUGUGCAUCUGUAUACAGUCAAAAAGUUAUUGGGGAUGCAUGACAGUUUGUGUGUGUAUGUUGGGGGGCACCAAUUUGAGGGAGCAUGUCUGAACAUGUCACUGUGCAGCAUCAGUUCUCCUGUGGAAUCGUUUAGAAAUGAACUGUCCCUCUCAUAAUAUAAAAUCCUCAAGUUCCUUUUGUACAGAAAAAUAGGUAUAUCACCUGCUGCAGUUUUUGUUUUUAUUUACUUUGCUUAUUUACACAAUAUAAGCUGAUAUACAUAUUGAAAUGUGUCGUCUUAAAUGAUAGUUCCCAGAGAGCUUUCAUCCUACCUUCAGUACAAUGUAAUGCUCGGAAAUACAAUAACAUUAACAUUCAAAUUCCCUAUUAAAUGGAAUGUUAAGCCGUAAUGCAUAAAUUCAUCAUGGUGAAUCCUGUGAAAACCUUAAAAAAAGGGUAUUUUUUAUAACUAUAAUGAAAAUAUAUUAGAUUGUUUUAAUUCUUUGAAAAACCUGAUGCCCAAUUACGCACAAUGCACCUCAAUGGACUUCAAUGUGUAAAAUCAGAUCAGAGCAGCUCAUCACUUUUAUUCAACAGAAUAAUCACUUCUAACACAAUAUAUACAAAAUCAUUCAGGUACAAAAACUAUUUGCAGCUAAUGUAAUGUGCAGGAUAACGUCUCAGUGAAAAUACAAAUUCAAUACAGAAUAAAAACAUUUGAGUCCUUGUGCAUUUUGCUUUUUAAAUUCGUCCAUAUUCAUUUUCAAUCUCCACUGGAGUAAAACGUCCACAGAGUUUCCACAUCGAGGUCGUGUGUGUGUGAGCACAAGUCAGUUUGUACCCUUUCAGCAGGACAACGCUGAAAAAAGAGAGACAUUAACUAAUCCUCUAGUUUUGAACUCCAGAAAACGUCCACACCCAAUUCAGUAGAUAUUUACCAGAGUUCAUGCCUGAAAACGGCUUUUAUGUCUCAUGUAUGUGACUUUUUUUUUAAAGGUGCUGUAUAUGUGUGUAUUAUCAGUUGUUUCAAACCAGAAACAGGUAGUUAAUGUGUUUUCUUCAUGGUUCAGAGUCUAUACAAUAAAAAUGUUUGAUCUUCAGUGUAUUUAAAGUCAGAGAGGUCCUGAACACAGGCAUAUCAGUCUCACUCUGAAUUUAUGGAGCAAAGUGUUUUCAUAGAACUUUGAAAUAUCCAGAAAUAAACUGAUUUGAUUGUA